CAUUCAAAUAUCUGCCCUAUCAACNUUCGAUGGUAGGAUAGAGGCCUACCAUGGUUAUGACGGGUAACGGGGAAUUAGGGUUCGAUUCCGGAGAGGGAGCCUGAGAAACGGCUACCACAUCCAAGGAAGGCAGCAGGNGCGCAAAUUACCCAAUCCCGACACGGGGAGGUAGUGACAAUAAAUAACAAUGUAGGGCUCUUUUUCGGGUCUUAUAAUUGGAAUGARUACAAUCUAAAUCUCUUAACGAGGAACAAUUGGAGGGCAAGUCUGGUGCCAGCAGCCGCGGUAAUUCCAGCUCCAAUAGCGUAUAUUAAAGUUGUUGCAGUUAAAAAGCUCGUAGUUGAACUUCAGGCUCGGCCGGGUGGUCCACCUUUACGGGUGUGUACUGUCCGGCUCGGCCUUUCACCCUCUUGGUGAGCCGGCAUGCUCUUCGCUGGGUGUGUCGGGGAACCGGGACGAUUACCUUGAGAAAAUUAGAGUGUUCAAAGCAGGCGUGUGCCCGAAUACAUUAGCAUGGAAUAAUGAAAUAGGACGUGCGGUUCUAUUUUGUUGGUUUCUAGAGUCGCCGUAAUGAUUAAUAGGAACAGUUGGGGGCAUCAGUAUGGGGCUGUCAGAGGUGAAAUUCUUGGAUCA
rnacentral:rRNA from 1 species